AAAAAAAGUGCAGAACCUGGAACAAACACAUUAGCCGAGUCUGAUGAUAUUCAACCAGAUCUUUUUCGUGGACUCGAUCAGGGACCCAGAUAGACAGCAGAACAGAAUGUGGCACAAACACAUCCUCUGAGGUCAGAGGCCUUGCAAAGCACCCUCCUCAAAAGCAUUCCGGGUCUGAGGCGUGAUUUUAAGACAACACAGAACAACCUUACCAAGACAUGGACACAUGAUCAAUCAGAGUUCUGCAGCCCCCCCACAUACUCGGAGUCUGAAAGCAAACCUAGACUUUUUAUUACUUUUUUAAAACAAUAGCCAGAACCAGAAGCAAAGAUAAAGUGAAGGCAAAGGUUUGCUUGGUUGUGUUUUAGAUGGCUGUUUUCUUGUGGGGGGAUUUUUUUUGUCAUUUUUUUUCUGUUCUUUCCUUUCUUUUUUUACAAAUAUAAAUAAAACAAAAAUUCUAACUCAAAAAAAAUUUAGUAGUUCAACAGAAGUUCUUUGCUGUGUUCUAGACAUUUAUAGGCUAUGUCACAAUUCAAAGUCCAAGGGUAAAACUGGAAGUUUAGAACUGUUUGGUAAUCAUGUGUCAAAAGAACAAAGUUCUGGAAACACCUUUUAUUCAGUUAACACUUGGAGUUUUCUGAGCCACAGUUUUUGACAAAGCAUGAAGACCAGUACCCUGGUUAUAACUUAUUAACACAUUUUAUUAUAAUGUUCUAAAACUCAGUGGUAAACAUUGUCGCUUAAACACUUUAUAUGCCAUUCAUCAGAGGAAGUAUAAUCUGUCAUAGUGCCCUACUUUGGAAGGAAAGUGAAGCUUGUUAAGGAUCCAGGAGAUAUAAUAAGGUUCAGUAUUAUAAAUUUACCCUGUGGGUUUACCCUUAGUUCUGUGGCGGAAACUGCCUCGAACCUAUGUUGUUAAUAAGGCAAGCAUUAAUUACGUGAGACAUGUUGUAAAAGCCAUCCCAGAGGCUAACCUGAUCUAGAAAACUUGGUACACACACACACACACACACACACACACACACACACACACACACAGCAGGAGUGGGGUGUGAUCUUUACAUAUCUCAGUCACUCAAAAUUGGCUAUAUAUUGUAAUGAAACGAUAGCAUUUUGGUCACCUUGUGUUAAAUAAAUAUAUUGUUGAUAUUUUUUUUAGUGUGGUUACCACAAACUGUAAAAAUAUGCCUGUAGCUUAUGUUUGUGACUCCCAUGUGUUCUAAACACAGGAAAAAGAAUGGGAAAAUACAGUCUCUGUCCCCAAAGAGUAUGGAAUAAAGGGUAGAAGUUGGGAAAAAGAGAACAGGGCAGAGGGCUGGGUUUCAUCUACAACACAAGGGCAAAAGGUAAAUGAUGGAUUUUUCUGUAAGAAAUCUGAGCUUUCUGGUUUCUACCUCAGGUAUCGUGUAGGAAAGAGUAGAGUCGGAAGAACCUUCAGGUCCACCCAUGAAAGGUGUUUCAGUCCUGUCCUCUUUAAGAAUGCAGUCAGUUAAAUGUUUAAUUUCACAUGAGGGCUGCUUCUUGAGCGCUGUAUUGGUAAGAUGGCGUCUAAGGAGCUUUCUGUUGAUAGUUAUCAGUAGAGGGGCUCAGCCUCAGUUAUGGGUUUGUGUAUUGGCUCUUUACCCUAAUUCAUGGAACACUAAAACUUAGAGUAAUCUAGCCUCAGCGGCCCCACAACGUCACUCAACCACAUUUUCUCUCAGUUGUUGUUGGGUUUUUUGUUUGUUUGCUUGUUUUUGUUUUUUUCAACAAACCCCCUCAAUCUCACCAACUAGAAUGUCAGCUCAGGGUUUCCUAAAGGGCUUCUAGAGUCAAUCCUUGUAUAUUACCCAACCUGAGGGAGCUGUAGGCCUUCUUACUGCCCGAUGGCCCAAUAGUGCUUCAGGCUUAUUGCUAAGCGCCAAAGUAGGCACAAGGUUCCUAGGGAGAUACUCUUCCUUCCAGAGCAGGAGGGCGAAUUCUUAAUGGGAAGUGUGUGGAAAACUCAAUGGCCUGGGCAUGCCCACCAUCAACUCAGACUUGUUUCUAACGCUACUUCUCUCUAGAAUGUUAUAACGUGUCCUUCCUCCUUCCCUACACUGUCCUUGAAAGCCUCGCUAACCAUGGAAGAGUGCAUGAAAGGUAUUUUUCAAAUAGUGUGAUUAUCAAUGACCGUCUAGCUCAAACGCUGCACAGAGAAGAGUGCCCAGAGGACAAUAGAAGUUCAAAGGGAGAGUAUUUCACCCAGUUGGGUAGUUAAGGCUUUCCAGAACAGAUGUUGCUUGUUACUUAUCUCAUUCAUACAUCUUAACGGAGGUCUGUUGUGUGUCCAGUUCAAGAGUUUUGUGCAGGGAAACAAGAUAGGAGUUUCUGACUUUAUUCAGGUUAGUGGCUGAAGACAGAACACCACACCAGAAACGGUAAAGAAGCUGAGCUGUCGUUCAGUGAUACUCAGGAAAAUAAUUCACAGCGCUAAAACAAAAGAUGACUCUAACGUGAGGACAUACAGGAGAUAGUUAGGAAAGAUCUCUGAAGUGGUGACACUUACAGUGAGUCUUGAGGGAUGAGAGUUGCCAGACUUUAUAAAGCCCUAGGGACAGAGAAAUGGCAGGAGAGGACUUAGAGGCUGAGGCCCUGAGGUAGGUGUGUGUGUGUGUGUGUGUGUGUGUGUGUGUGUGUGUGUCCGUGCGCACGUGCAUGUGCACUCGGGCAAGUGAGUGUACAACAGCAAACUGAGGCCCAUGUAUAAACUGCGUUUUGAAAAACUAACAAGUUUCCCACACAGUUGCUAGGGUAGCAGACAGGAGAGAGAGGAAGAAAGGGUGGUUAUUUCAGAGAAAGGGAUUCAUAAAUGAUAGAAUGUAGGAACUGACAUUUAAACCAAGGUAAAGUGGAUCAAAGUUGCAAUGAAUAACAACCAAUGCUCUAUUGUAUUGGGCUUGUUGUCGUAUUGGUAGUGUUGAUCAGAUGCAGUGUUUCCCUGUAUAUUGCCAAGAAGAAAAGGAGUGAAUUGAGUGUUGGGUCCUCCCCACACUGAGUCUUGACGGUGCUCUAUGUUGUCAGCACUAAGUGUUUGCUGAAUGCCUGCUAUUUCCCGGGGAUUAUAACAAAUGCCUUACAUAACUUGGUUCUCCCAUUUAACCCCAGCGACUCCCAAACCUAUGUCCCUUCCACUCUUUUUUUUAUUAAAUUAUAAUUGUGGAGUGUAAGUGGGAAUAGUAGCCAGUGAAUAAGGCCUCAGAGCACAUCAUCCCUUAUCCUGGAGAAUCUUAUUGUGUAGAAUGAUAAUGUUUGUGUUGGACUUGGAAGACGUCAUUUGCCAUAUGUCCAUCUUUGAGGGACAUACCUUAUUAGCCUAGAAAGUGAUUUAUAAAAUCAGAAUGCCAGUUUACUGUUGAGAGUACAAAAAGAGACUCAACCACCAAAACCCACACAGCUCACUUUCUAGACUCACCUGCAAAGAAAGCCAAGUAAUUGUCAAAACAUUGGCAAGACAUCAAAUUGAAAGGGGAGUUAGAGCUCCUUUAAGCUUUUGGGUUGAGAUAACAAAAUAUAUUUGUUUUUCAAUACAGUCAACUAUACCAGUUAUAAUAGAGCUAUACUAGGGCCAUAAAGCUACCAAAUUAACCAAUACCACUUUAAGGCUAGCUUUACAGUGAAUUGAGAGAACAUGAAGUUCACUGCUAAUUACCUUUCUUUUUUUUUUUUUAGAGGGUUUAAAUAUCAACCCCGCUAAUUACCUUUCUUCUGAGGAUCAUAUUUAACUGGCCACAGUCAGCAUUUAUAGCUAUGACAUCUUUCAAAGAUAAUCAGUUCAUGACCAGUCAUCAGUAUAUCUAUUUCUCGAUAUCAUUUCUCAUUAUUAGUCAUGUUAAAGUCGAAUCUUAAUGCCUGGGUAACUGUUGCUUCUUCAGAGUGACUUCCUUCUGACUCUACUGUAGUAGGUGUCAACUUAGUCUUUACAAUAAUCAAGUUUUCAAGUCCUUCCGAGGCACCUCAUUGUAGAUUUUAUGUUCAUUAUCUUUUUUCCUUGUUGCCAUAACAAAAUACCCGACAAAACAACUUAAGGAAGGAAGGGUUUGUGUUUUGAUCACAUCUAAGUGACAAGUCCAUGAUGGUGGAGAGGGGAAGGGUGAAGGGAGGGGGAGGUGGCUCAUUCCACUCUGUGUGCAGUCCUGAGGCAGAGAAUGGACAGACCACGAGACCAGCCUACGAAAUCUGAAGCCUGUCGCCAGUGACCCUUUCCUCCAGUGAGACUCUGCCCACUAAAGUUAACAGAACAUCUACAGCAGCACUCAGCUUAGGACUAAGAAAACCGCAGUAUUAUCCCUUACUUGGGAUCUAUGGAAGGAGGAAUGCAUUAGGACAGUAGCCAGCCCUCAGUGGCUUCACUUAUGAAGUGUGAUUUCAAGUGAGUUCUUCCUACGCUAGUCACAGAACACAAACAUACAUGAAUGUUAAAGUCUGAGAAAUAAGACGAUUAAAUACCUUAAAAGAACAAAUGUAAGGCAAGAUACUUUCUGUAGAGAUCCAACUGAGCUGACUGUAGCUACCUUAUUCAUAAAAGGCACUUUAUCCACCAGGUGAGUCUUGACACUCAUUCCAAAUCCUAUAGGACAAAUAAAGCCAUUCAUAUACUUAACAAGCUUUUCAAUAUUGACGGGCCACUACUCCCCAGGACUAUUUCUUAAUAGAGAUUUGAUAUUUUAAUUGUUUUUGAAAAAUCCCAAGGUACAUUACAGGAAGCUGUGACCCACUUUGGCCUAUCUUAUCAUGUAAACUGUGAUGAUUUGAAUGAGAAUGGCUUUUACAGGCUUUAUUUGAAUGCUUGAUCCCCAGUUGGUGGGCUGUUUAGGAAGGAUUAGGAGGUGUGGCCUUGUUUGAGAUUUAUCAAUGGGUAUUGGCUUCAAGGGUUCAAAAGCCCAUGCCAAGCCAAAAUCUUCUUUUCUCUCUCUCUCCUCCUCCACCUUCUCCCUCCCUCCUUUCCUCUCUCACUUCCUCCUCCUCUUUUCCCCUCUCUGCCUGCUGUCCGUGGACCAGAUAUAACCUCUCAGCUACUGCUCUAGCACCAUGCCUAACUGCCUGCUGUCUUGUUCCCUGCUAUGAUGGGUAUAAGCUCACCCUCUGAAACUGUAAGCAAGCCCCUAAUUAAAUGCUUCCUUGAUAGGGCAUCUCUUCCCAGCAAUAUGAAAGAAACUAAGUUAUAAACCCUUCCUCCUGCCUUGGGUAUAGGUGUCUGCCUGGCAUGCUGCUGUCCACAGAGCAUAGAUAAUUGGCUUUGGAUCCCUUCUUACAGUCUCUCUACACCUUCCCCAUUUAGCUGCCAAUUCUGGUACACUGUGUUCUCCCAAAACACCUUCAGAAGACUUUUAGACUAGUAAAGGAAUCCUUUUUAUAAUCAAGCAAUCAUUUACUUCCCUCUGCAAUCUAAAAGAAAGGAUGAAAGGCAAGAAUCACUCCCAGGGAAGGGUAUUUCCUCCCUCUAUGCAAGAAGGUGGUGAUACUUCUCUCUCUACCCAGCAGGUCAAGUCAAAGUUUGGAGUGUUAAGAUAAAGGGAGGUUGACAUUUUCUCCUGACUGACUGGAUGCACAAUCCUACCCCUAACCGAGGAGCUAUUGGCAAUCGUUAGCUGCUAAGGAGGAAGGUUUUUCUCUAAGAGCGUAGCCCUUGAUAAAUUGACCAUGAUCUAGGGAAAGACCAUACAUUUAAGGAUAUUUGUACAACAUAAACUGGCCUACAUAGUGCAUGGGGAUACAAAGUUAGGUGAAAAAAGAAGCUGGUGGAUCUAGGAAGCAUUAGGGGAGAGAACAUGAAUAUGACCAAAACUCAUUGUAUAAAUUCUCAACAAAUAAAAAAAAGUGUUUUUUGUUGUUGCUGGUGGUGGUGGUGUUUUUUGUUUGCUGCUUUGUUUUUUGCCACUUCUAGGAAGGUCUCGUUGACAGCCCCAAAGUACACAUAAACAGAAAUUUGUUCCUGCUCUGGGUCUACAGUUUUCUGAAAGAAAAACUUGUUGGAAAAGAACAGAAAAGAAAAGAGAAGUAUUCUGUAAUACAUUCAGCCAAUGCCUGGGAAGAAGAUACGGGAUCUCUAGUAGACUACCACAACAUUAAGCCAGAAUGAAUGAGAACCCUAGUGGUUCCCACAGGUACCAUCUAAAGGUUAGGAGCAAGUGCUUCAGUUUGGCUUCACCACCCUGUGGUAUUUGUAGCUGUUUUCAACAGUCCCUGAUGGCAAUAUAUGUAAAAGCCAUGUGUACUGGCUGGUUUUGUGUCAACUGGACACAAGUUAGAGUCAUCAAAGACUUCAAUUGAGGAAACGCCUCCAUAAAACCCAGCUGUAAGGCAUUUUCUUAAUUAACAAUCAAUGGGGGAGGGCCCAGACCAUUGUGAGUAGCACCAUUCCUGGGCUGGUUGGUGGUCCUGGGUUUUAUAAGAAAGCAGGCUAAGCAAACCAUGUGAAGCAAGCCAGUAAGCAGCACCCCUCUAUGGCCUCUGCAUCAAUUUCUGCCUCCAGGUUCCUGCCCCGUAUGAGUUCCUGUCCUGACUUCUUCAGUAAUGAACAGUGAUAUAGAAGUUAUAAGCUGAAAGGAUUAUAAACCCUUUCCUCCCCAACUUGCUUUUUGUUCAUGGUGUUUCGUCACAGCAAUAGAAAUCCUAAGACGCCAUCUCCUCAACGGUUGUACCCAAAGGCUGGAAGAAAGAGUCAAACAUCCUUCUCUAAGUCUCUUUGGGAGAACAAAGUGACUUCUCAUUGACUUUGAAGACAUCACAUUGGGCAAAAGUGCAUCAUGUGCCUUUCCUGAAUAUACCUCAAGGAUCAUGAUUAGCAAUGUUUUCCUAAAAACACUCAAAUUUUUGUUCAUGGAGAAGAUAUAAAUGGCUGAAUGAUAAUGGCUUUUAUAGUGUAAUGUGGGAGGUUCCCCAAUAAGGGAGUUCCUCCUACCAGCCUGCUUCCUGUGUGGAGGUCUAUGCCUGGAGGCUCCAUGGAGGUUGAAUGGGGUUUUAUUACCGCCCCUGUGAAAGCCGAUUGGCUGCUGGUUAACCGUUGUGUUCUAGGGACUGGACUCAGGUCUCAGGCUUGGCUGCAGCUGAGGUUCCCUUGCAUGAUGGGUGCAUGAGUCACAAGUGUACCGGAGCAAGAGAGAUCAUCUUUUGACUAAGAAAUGAAGGGUGGAAAGAGGAGGGGUCUUGGUACUUCUGUGACCUUCCAGGGUAUUUCUCUAUUGACAUGAGAAAUACCACUGGCACCCACCUCUCGAAAGUCACCACUUCACUGGGAACCAAGCCUCAACACAAGGCCCUUGGGGUGUGGGGGGCAUUUAGAUGUAACACACAAAUGUACUAUCUUCUGUUUCCAGAAUGUUUCCCUCUGGUGGUUUUUUUUUUUUUUUUUCUUAAGGAGGGUCCAUCUGAAAGAGCCAGAUUUGGGGUCAAUCUAAGGCCAGUGGGAAAGUUGCACCGAAAACCUCCAAGCACAAAGACCCCUCCCUUCCAGGGAGUAGUUAGUUCCUGGAGCAACUGCAAACCAAGCUGUCAAACAAAAUCACCUGUAACUCCCAACCAACCUCUCCUUGACUGCCAACCGUUCCCCCCUGGAAAGUCCAGAAUGGUCCACUGAUUACGAGUCAGCUUGGAGGUCACUUUACCCCAUCAAUAAUACCCUGCCUAGUUACCAAUUGUUUGAAUUCUGCCCCAAUUGUUUGCAAGGUAUAUAGCUCCCUGUCAUAGUCUGCUCCCUUGAAGUGGGAGGAUCCUAACAUGUCGGAAUUAAACUCUUCUUGCUAGUGUAUCGAUCACUGUCUCUAUGAGUCCCAGGCUGGCUGGGAUGGUGACACCUGAGGCCUUUCCUUGUACUGGCUCCCAGCCUUCAGCAAUUUCAUAUCCUUCUGCAACUGGCUAGUCCCAGACACUUUCUCUGGCAAUCUAAUGAAUGUGUUAUCAGCAAAUUCCAGGGAAUAGGCCACCACAGUGACGCCCACAUCUUUCAGUGAUUCCCAGCCCACCUCUCCUGCACUUUGAGCCUGGCUUAGACUGUGGUAGAGAACUCCUCUUCUGUCACUUACCUCACUCAGAGAUAGGGGCUGCUUCUCAGAUUUGCUAUUUCUACAUCCUCUAAAGUUCUCUUUACUUCUUGACCUAUCCCCUCAAUUAGUUAAGCUGCUUAUUUGGUUCAUUCUUUAUAUUGAACUUUUCUGUUUAAAUGGCUGUGUGUUUUCUGCUUUGAUUGGGUCUAGACAGAGAGAGGAAAAUAUGCUAAAUAAACAAAACAUUAAGAUUUUAGAGUCUUUCUGGGGUUGGGGAUUUGGCUCAGUGGUAGAGCGCUUGCCUAGCAAGCACAAGGCUCUGGGUUCGGUCCCCAGCUCCGAAUAAAAGAAUAGGAAAAAACAAAAAGACUUUAGAGUCUUUCUCUGAAAAUAUUCAUGGGAUGAUUUUCAUGGAUCUAUUAGCGUUUAAGGAACAGUCCUGUCAAGUUCCGAAACAACUCGUAGGACUAAAUUAUUGCCUAUAUUGCUGCUAAGAGUCAAGAUAAAAACCACGGUCUUCCUGAUGCCAAGCAUCAGAGUGACAGACUAGUCCUUCAGAUGCAGAUAGCCCAGGUCAGGCAUCGUUCAGAUGGGGAGGGCUGAUGCUGGCAGCUUGCCAAGUGGCAGGGAGCUCACAAGGAGGAGGAGGAGAGCUGGGUCACACCUACCUAUUUGAGUUCUUCAUCCGUUUAAUUAGAUGAGUCAGUCAGUCCUUCCCAGGGAAAGAAGCCUCUGGGUGUUUAGUAGGGAAGGGGUGGAAUGGCCAGGCGCAUACAAUAAUUCCUUCUCUAUGGCUCCCUUCAACAGAAGUCAUGCCACUUCCAUAUGACUUCUGUGACUUUCACAAAGACCAAAUAGAACAUAGGUGUAAUUUUUGGUUUUCAUCUUUAAAACUCACAUUUAGUUAGUGUGGACAUGUGUCUGUGUGUGUGUGAAUGUGUACUUGUAUAAAGGUCAGAAUAUAGCUCUUACUGUGUGGAAACUGGGGAUCAAACUCAGAUUGUCAGGCUCCUUGGCAAACACUUUUAUCCUCUAGUGAGCAUUCUUACCAGCUGAACCCUCUCCCCAUCCCUAAGACAGGCUAUCCUGUAUAUCCUCAACGUGUAAUUGGCCUCAAAUCCACAGUUCUCCUGCCGCAGCCUCCCACGUGCUGAGGUUACAAACAUGCCAGCACUGCUGGCUUACAGUUGGGCUCUUAACGAGUUACUUAAAAUGCCACAUUCAUAACCUCCCAGUGUCAGUGUAUGGGAUAAAAUAAUGUCAGGGGUUGUUUUGAUUUAACAAGGAAUUAAGCACAGAGACCAUACUAAACAUAACCAUAGGGAGUUCUCACUGUAGCUGACUCUAACUCUGGCUGAUUUAAACAGAAAGGGGAUUUCUUGAAAUAAUGCUGAGUAUCUCAGACAAUUUGGACAAAGCUGGAGAGACGUGGAGAGUGAUAGAUAGCAUGUCUGGUCAGCCAGCAGAGGGAUGAGAGCCCUCUCCAGGACACCGAGGCGGUGGUUUGUGUCACCAGUUCUAGAUCUUUCAGCUGCUGUGAGAAAACGUUCCCAGAUUGCCUCACUUCUUUGCAACAGAAGCCACAGUUGCACUUUUGCUCAGCCUGUGGAGUGACAUGAAAGAGAGGUGGUUUGCUGUUCUGAUCUUCUGCUUGUGGGAAGAAAAGACUGGGGUGGGGGGGGAGGCUCAGUAGUUAAAGUGCAAGUGUGAGGACCCCAGUUCAGAUCUUCCGGUUCCACAAACUCUGGAAGCAGGAGCCAGGGCCAGGUCUGUAAGUUCAGUACUUCCAGAGUGAGGUGAGAGGCAGAAGUAGGAGAAUCCCCAGAAGUUUCAGGCCUGAGAGCCUGGCAUAUACAGAGGUGAGCAACGAGAGGCCCGCCUCGGACAAGGUGGGAGGCAAGGGCAUGAAUUUGUCCAGUGACCUCCACGUGUAUGCAUACAGUGUGAUUGAAAUUACAUGUGUAGAGGCAUGCACACACACAGGGGAGGGGCAGAGAGAGACACACAGAAAUUUUUUUUUAAAUAAUAGAUUAAAAAAUCUCAGAAAAUUCUUUAAAUUAUGGAAUAGGGCUAAUCACAAACUAUAUCUGGCUUACCUGCAAUUAGCCCAGUGUUUCAUGAAUAAAAUAGGUCAUGGCUUCUGUUUUUAAAUAAUUAAGAAGUUAAUAGGGGUUGGGGAUUUAGCUCAGUGGUAGAGCGCUUGCAAGGCCCUGGGUUCAGUCCUCAGCUCCGGAAAAAAAAAAAAAAAGAAGUUAAUAAUGCAAUGUUUGUUUCAUUCCAGCUACAUGAAUCAUAAGAAUAAACCAAAAAAAAUUAAAUUAAGUCCCCACACUUAACUAUUUCAUACAUUUUCACUACUUUUUAAAGUUAGAACUAUUUACUGUACAGACGCAGUGAUUUGGAAUAUCUCCUCAGCUGAUACUUUGAAAAGACAGCAGCCAAACUUUCACUUCUCCUUUCCUCUCUUAAGUCUUCAGUUUUAUUAUUGAUAUAUAAUAUCAAUAUAUAUAUAUAUUGAUAACUAGUUGAGCAUGCCAAUUCAUAACUAUUCUUUGUCUUAACAUUUGCUGUUAUACAGUGGCCAUUUUGAGAGUAAACUUAUGCUGGAAUAUAGGAAAUUACUAUUUUAAAGUAAGUUCCAAAGUGGUGUGCGGUGUGUUAGACUGGAGCCCUGCAAGCAUGAUAUUCACUUCUCUUUUCCUUUAAGGGCAGCAAUUUUAAAUCCUGACAAAACAGCGUUGCUUAUACAAGAUAUCUUCAGUAAGCACUUGUCAGCGUUUCUUAUGUUCCUGAAUAUCUUGUAGGAUAACCACCAUUUCAUCUUCACGUAUAAAAUUAAAAUACAGAAAAUAUUAAAAAGGAAAAAUUGAAAGAUGUUUGUGACGGUCCCUGUUCUUAGUUCUGCAUGUUGUUAGCCUGUAGCUUCUCAGGCAAUCCUAUCUGAAAGCAACAUUCUGAUUGCAUCAUAAUGAGGAUCAUAAGCUUGACUGAUGAGUAUUAACUUCUGAGCCUGUGUAGUAAAAGCUGGCUACUAAGCCCACAGGCAAAGCACCAAAUCCUCACCCAUGAUCACUUUCUCAGAAAAACAAAGUCUAUUGGGCAAGGCUUCAAAGGGCAAGGCUUCACGUCUUAAAGGUUCCACAGUCUUCUAAAACAGCACCCUAGUUAAAGACCAGUUCUUCAAACACAUGAAGCUAUGGGAGGAACACUGAGAAACAUUCUCUUCAGAUAACUUGUGAUGCACACCAAAUGAUGCUGGUAUGAUUUCUUAGGUUUUUACCACUGGAACACUUUUUGUUUUGUUCUUUUCUUGUUUUAGACUUCCUAUCCUUAUAGACUUAUGUUUGUAGAAAAUACAUGUAGUAGCAUUACAGUUGAUUUUCACAAGGGAACAGGUGUCUUUAUGUUACUGGAGCCUAGUGCCCAGGCCCAAAAAUGGUAGAAAUGAGGCUGGUCAGGCAAAGCUUUUAUUGGAAUCUAUCUAGGUGGGAGACAUAGUCUGGAUCAGGUGGUGGCUCCCUAAAGAAAGAAAAACAGGGAGUUAGUUACAAGAGAGAUGCUGCCCAAAGUUCCCAUCUAGGUCCUUCAUUAAAACAAAGAGCUAAGGCACAAAGACUGCCCUGUCCUAGCAGCUCAGCAUCCACUCUCCGUUGUAGGCGGCUCACUGGUCAUCUGUGACUUCAGACUUCUGUCUUCAUGGACCACAUGUCAACCCUCACUGGGCCUAUUGAGGGCCUAAUUUGUCUGGCAGGGGGAGGAAGUCCUCCUCCCCCAGUUAUCUCUAAAGCACUCGUCUCUCAGGGAUCAGCCAGCAAAACAGAACAAACAACAGGUGCAUAAUAAGAGAUUUACCUCAAGGAAUUGGCUAGUGUAGAAUUGGACCUUAUAAUCUUCUCUAACAUUGCCCAGCUGUACUCCUUAGUUAUAGGUAAAAAUAAAACUCCGCAGUACCUACAUCAGUGUUUGAUGAAUAACCAGGAACUAUAAUGUCCCCUGGGUGACACAUAAAACUCACCAUGGGAGUUGGUGUUCUUACAGGGAACUAGUCCUUUCUUUUGAAAAUGGGAAACAUCUUAACUCUAGGGUUCACCUUGGAAACUCAUUUGAUUUCCAUGCAUACCACCCUGAUUCUUGCUGUGAGAGAGCAAUGAACCUCGGUAGAGUCUCCUUGAUAUCCUAACUCUUCCUCCCCUUGCUCUCUAAGUGAGCUUUCAGGGUCUCUCUCAGCCUCUCUGGUUGUCAUCCGUAGCAUGCCUAGGCUUCUCACCUCACCUAUUUCAUGGUCUUCCUGGCCGUGCUGAUUGUUCCCCUUUGGCUCCCAUCCCCACAGACAACUCUUGCUUGUUGUCUCCUCCUGGCUCAUGCACAUUGAAAGCUCAAAUAUUUCUCUGGGUGGAAAAGGCAAGGAGAAAAAGGGAAGUUUUAAUAUUGCUUCAAACGUCUUCACAGUUGAAUCCAAUGCAAUGAAACAAAGUUAAUGUCAUGCUAUAACAAUAUCUGUGACUGAAAGAUAAGAACACAUUAUCCUGAUACUCAGUUGAGGUAUCACCAAUCGCGUGAUCAAAAAUUAUCUUUAUUCAGUGUGACCUCUAGGGGCCUAAGGCUGCUAUCCCAACUGUGCUCACCAAACAAACUCUGUUUCCAGCUUUUUGUUAUCUUAGCUGCCCCAGGCUUACGUGAAGGGCUGCUCACACACCCCCUGUUCCUACUGGUGACAGUCCCUAAUGUCACUAUUCCAGCCUUGUGAGUAUGGAACUCCUCCCAUAGCUGUUCAUUUUGAAGUACAAAACAUAGAAUCUUCAAUUUUCCCAAGCUGACUCUGAGGCCAUGCUGCAAUAUUUAACAAGUGCUCAAGUGCUGGAAAGGAAUUCAGGUCGCUUGUCACCUCUUGUAUGGAGCAUUGGUUGUUUUUAAUAUAUGUUAAAUCUGCACAACAAUUUUUUAGUUUUUUUUAUCUUUUAUUUGUAGAUAAACAAAUCAAAAGUCACUGCAGGGAUUCCAAUCAAGACUUGUCUGACCAUGCUGCACAAAUAAAAAUUCAGAUAUCAACAUAAUCUUUAAAUUUCACAUGUGGUGCUGGGGAAAUGGCCCAGCAGACAAUGUGCUUGUGUGUAAGCAUGAAGGACAGAGUUCAGAUUCUCAGCACCCAUGUAAAAGCUAGGCAAGAGUAAUUCCAGUUCUUAGAAGAUGGAGCUAGAGGACUCCUGGGGCAAGCUAGCUAGCUGGACCAGCCAAAUCAGUGAGCUCUGGGUUCUGAAAGAGAGCCUGUUUCAGUAAGUGAAAUGGAGAGUGAUUGAGAAAGGCAUCUGAUGUCAUCCUCUGACCUACACACACACACACACACACACACACACACACACACACAAUACAUGACAUUUCUUAUUUUAUUUGUAGUUGAGUACAUUUUGGAAAGUGUAUACCCCAUAGUUCAUAUUUUUAACAUAUAAAACAGCUCCACAUAUUUUAACUUGUGCGGGUUUUAAAUAGUAGUUGCUAAUUCCACUAAACUCAAGUACACCAAUAUUUUAUUUUAUCUAUAUAAGUCAUUGGUACUAUUUUGGCUAAUGUAUGCUAUCUACUAUAUCUUCAUUACCUCUGAUUUCUCAGCCAGAAAUGUGGAAUCAUGGUCUUCCUCUUGAGAUUUCAUUAAGGUAAAGGCUGUUCCCCUUUAAAAUAUCUCCUUUUAUAUCUGAAAACUGAAAAUUUUGUAGUGAGAAGCUAUUUCUAACAUUAAAGAUUGUUACCUUGGUCCAAGUGAGCCACUUUAUAAGUAUAAAGACUCCUUCAUGUCCUUACAGAGAGCCAGAACCUCAAAACCAUUGCCUGUGAUCUCUGUUGUUUAGUUAUCUGUGCAACCAGUAAGACUUGCUCUAUGUAGGGUAGAAAUACAGUCAUUUAAAAAAAAGCUUAACCAGUCAGCUCUUUGUAAAUAAAUUUUCUUUAUUCACAAGAACUAACAUACGUCAAAGCCUGUGUUCUCUGCCUAAAGCAUUUGAGUUCAGUCCAAAGCAAGCAAAGCACUUAUGUUUUCCAAAUAACAGGGAAAGGACAGAGGGAGGAAGGGAAGAAAGGGGGGAGACAGGUCAGGAGGAGAAUAACUUUUCAUCUCUGGGAAGAAAAGAGGUUAAAAACUAAUUUAGGGGGUUGGGCAUUUAGCUCAGUGGUAGAGCGCUUGCCUAGCAAGCGCAAGGCCCUGGGUUCAGUCCCCAGCUCCGAAAAGAAAAAAGAAAAAAAAAACUAAUUUAGAAAGAUGGUGGUGGUACAUGCCUUUAAUCCCAGCACUCUGGAGGCAGAGGCAGGCAAAUCUCUGUGAGUUCAAGGCCAAUCUGGUCUACAGAGUGAGUUCUAGGAUGGCCAGGGCUAUACAGAGAAACCCUAUCUCAAAAAAACAAAACAAAACAAAACAAAAAAACAAAAACAACAACAACAAAAAAAACCCAAAAAACCAAAAACAAAAAACCAAAAAAAAAACAAAAGUAAAAACCCCAAAACCAACUAAACAAUAAUUUCAGUUCUUGGUCUUGAAACUCCCAUACCAUGAGUGAAAGGGGGGAAGGGGAAGUGAAUGUGCAGGCUGAAGUAUGUGAGAGGCAGAUGAGGCAGUGGUCCACAUGGAUUAGCCUGUGCAGGUACAGAGGCCAAACAAGUAGAAAUAAGGGAUGCUGGAGGCCAGGUUGCUGGAACAAUCUGUCAGACUGUGAGCUUCCCCGGUGUCUCACUGGAUCUGGAACUUCACCGUCUGAUCACCAAAACUGCCUCUAGGAAGUUGCUGUGCUUUCACUGCAGACAGGCCCAGCUGGUCCUCAGCCUGUGGCGUUUUGGAUGGUUCUCACCUGUUCCUUCUUACAAGUCCUCACUUGUGGCCAAGUGUCACCAGUAUACAGUAAGUAAUCCUUUGCUGUCUCAGCUAAAGAAUAAAAAGUAAUGAAAAAUAGGUUCAGGAAAACCUUAAAGACUUUUUCUUUUUUAAAAAAAAGAUUUAUUUAUUUAUUUAUUUAUUUAUUUAUUUAUUUAUUUAUUUAUUUAUUUAUAUGACUACACUCUAGCUGUCUUCAGACACACCAGAAGAGGGCAUCAGAUCCCAUUACAGAUGGCUGUGAGCCACCACGUGGUUGCUGGGAUUUGAACUCAGGACCUCUGGAAGAGCAGUCAGUGCUUUUAACCACUGAGCCAUUUCUCCAGCCCCCAAGACUUUAUUUUCUAAUAAACACAUUUUUGUAACUAGAGUAAUAAUAAAGUAAUACUCUUGGCCAGGGAAGAAUGAAUAACAAUAUUCUUUAAAAACAAAAAUGUGGCAGGAGGCUAUGUACCAUGUGGGUCAUUGUCUUAGUCUCUUUUCAGUUACCCUAGCAUAUCUGAGACUGGGUGACUGGGUGUUUUAGUUUUAUUUCCUCUUUCUGUGAUAACAUACCCUCGUAAAAGCAACAUAAAGAAGAUAGGUUGUAUUUGGCUCAUAAUUUCAGGUUGUAGUUUAUUAAUGUGAGAAAGUCAAGGCAGCAGGGACUUAAAGCAGCUAGUCAUGUCCACAGUUAAGAGCAGAGACAGAAUAAAUGCAGUUAUGCUUGUCCUCAGUUACUUCUCCUCUGACACAGUUCAGUAUGCCCUGCGUAGGGAAUGGUACUACCCACAGUUGGCAUGCCUUAUCACCUCAGUUAGCUUAAUCAAGACAACCAUCUUAGACUCACCAGUGCUCAUCUUUAACCCCAGGCAUUGGAAAGCAGAGGUAGGAGGAUCUAUAUAGAGAAUUCCAGGUCAGCCAAGGCAACAUAGUAGACCCUGUCUAAAAAAAAAAAAAAGAAGAGGAGGAGGAGGAAGAAGAGGAGGAGGAAGAGGAGGAGGAAGAGGAGGAAGAAGAGGAGGAGGAAGAGGAAGAGGAAGAGGAAGAAGAAGAGGAGGAGAUGAUGAAGAUUCUCAAUGUGCAUGCCCACAGCAUACAUCUAGACAAUCCCUCACUGAGAGUCUUUUCCCAGGUAAUUUUAUACUGAGUCAAAGUUGCACCAGUGGGAUUGCUCCGUGGGUAGAGGUGUUUAUAGGUAGGCCUAGCAUCCUGAGAUCACUGGAUUCCACAAGGUAACAGGACAGAACUGGCUCUUCAAAGUUGACCUCUGACUGCCACAUGCUGCGGCACCAGCAAAAGGCAAACCUGUGUGCACACAUGUGCACACACAAGUAAAAUUUGAAAUUAGAUUGCGUUAGUUAACAAUACUAACCAUUUACUGGGCAACUUAUGAAGAAGAAUGCUUUAUUUCUUACUGUCAUAGAGGCUUAAAAGUUCAAGGAAUAAAGUGCUGACAUCUAGUCAGAGCAUCCUUGCCUGUUAGAAUGUGGCAGAGGGUAUCACAGAGCAAAGGAAGUGCACAUGAGACAAAGAAAAAUCAGGUCAGAGUCGCUGUUCCUAGACUACUCCUAUGAUAACUGACUAACCACCUCUAGCUUUCAUCUAGUCACUUUUUAUUAUUUUACUUUAUACAUAAGGUUACUUUGCCUGCAUGUAUGUCUGUGCAUCGUGUGUUGGUGUCCACAGAAACCAGAAGAGGUGUCAUCUCCCCUGAAGCUGGAGUUACAGAUGGCUAUGAGCCACUGUAAGGUGCUGGGAGCUGAAUCUGUGUUCCUUGGAAGAGCAGCCAGUGCUCUUGACUCCUAAGCCAUCUCUGCAGUCUUACUAAUCUAGUCAUGUCUUAAAGGUCCCACUUUUUUAAUAUUGUAACCAACCUGACAGCAAAGAGGUAGUUUCUCAAGUCUUUAACCAAAAUGACUAAACCUACUAGAAACCACUUACAGUGUAUGUUACAUACAGAGAAAUGGGUCAGGGGUCAGCGCUGACAAAAUCCACAGCUGGUUCUCAGGUUCUACUACUUGAUAGAUUUGCCUCUGAGUAAACUGUUUAAUCUCUCUGUCCUUGGUUUUUCCCUUUCAUAAUAUCUAGGGGAAGAUGACUUUAAGGUUAUCCUAUGGACAAGUGUAACAUUUCUAACAUUUCUAAUUUGUUCCAUGGUAUUCAAAACAAAAGGUAUUCAAAUUACUGCCAUUUGAAAGGAGUUAAUUUUCUGUUUCAUAAUGUUUUUAUGCAUCUAAUUAUACAUUUCCUGAUCGUCAAUUUGUUGCUCUUCCAACAAUGAAAGAGCAGCAGCUACAAGCUAAGAUGCGAACUGUCCUUAUCUCAGAAUUGGAAUGAUAGUUUAUUACUAAUCAGUGGCAUAUGCAGGGUAGUACUAUGUCCAACCACCUCCCCAUGAUGGACUGAAUUGUGUCUCUGUACUCAACCAAGUUCUCAUGGUGAAAUUCUAAUUCCCAGUUCCUCAAGGUGAGACAUUAUUUGGAAAUGGGGACAUUGCAAAAUGAAAUCGUUGGGGUGGAUCCUAAUCCAGAAUGGCUGGUGGCUAUUGUCUCUACAGAAAAGGGGAAGUUUGGUCACAAAUGCUGGUACAUAGAAGGAGCAGAUAACAUAAGGACAUGCUGGGCUGGCUUUCUUGUGGCAUCAAUGACUUGGAUGCCCAGUGGCGAGUAAACUGUGAGCCCUCUGAGCCACAUCCCUCCAGUGCUUUGAAGUUCAAAUGCUGCACCAAGGCCUGGACUAUGGUGAAGCACUUGCUAGGCCAGCCUGUACUCUGACAUUCCCAGGAGCUGAUUUCCUCUGCCUUUUGGCAGAAGUAUCCAAAUUGCUAGGACAAACCUGGCUCAACUGAAGCCAUGUCACCCUGAAAGGUGACUCCUGACCAACAGCUUCCAUGUAGGAGAUGUCUAACCAAGACUAGCAUGUCCCACUGGAUGGAUUGGCUCCCCACCAAUGUUUUGUUUCCAAACAACACUGCUCACUCAUUGCACACCCCAGAGGACAUUCAGAACCAGACUGUAGCCAUCUUUCCCUGGAACACCAACCAUGCCUGGCUGAUGGUGGUAAAGAAAGUGUGAAUUUACUGUGUGAAUUCUGACAAAAUGUCAGACAUAAACCCUCUGGGAAUUCUGGGUCACCACAGCUGUCUAGGAAUUUGGUCUGACCCAGUUCAAAAGCAAUUUGAUGAACACAGGAGCAUUGAAUACCUUAUGCUUCGAGUCUCUCUGUUUUCCCUCUCUGAUUUUAAGAUCUAGAAAGAUAUCCAGUGACUUAGUCAUUCCUGCCUAGAUAAUCUCUCCAGUUUAAGGUCGACUGACCUUUGACCUUAGUUAUCAAUGCAAAAUACCUUCAUUACAGCUCCUGGAUUAUGCCUGAUAUGCUGGUCUGUGUCCACCAGGGUAAGAAAUAUUGGGGUCAUCUUACACAUUCUUUAGUUAAACUGACCUUCUCGUUUCAAAUCCACUUCAGAUUUAAGGCUGGUAGUUUAUAAUUGGAGAAAGGAUAAUUUGGCUUGUCUGCCCAAGAGACAUCUGGUCGCAUCCAGAGACUGUUGGGAGCGAUGCCUUUGAAGCCCUCCAUUAUUGAUGUUAUUAUUAUGGUUAUCGUUAAGUAUGACUGGGUUCAUGGAAAAUCCCCAGCCAGCAACAGAAGACUAAUACAAAUGUGGUGGUUAAGAUGAAUAAUCAUAUGAUAACAUCUGAUGUUAAGAUACCCAAUGUGAUGACCUGUAACCUUUCUAAAAAACCAACAUCCUGCUGACUAAGAGAUAUGACAAACCUGUGACCUUUCUGACAUCCUGUCAACAUCAGCCUACUCCCUGACCACAUGAAUAUUGUGUCCUUGGCCUGCAUAAAUGUUUCUUAUUCCCCCCCUCCCUCUGUUACCCAUGUUAUGGUAUAAAUUCAGCCUUGAGGAAAAAUAAAAUUGUCGCCUUGAUCAGA